AUUGAACGCUGGCGGCAUGCCUUACACAUGCAAGUCGAACGGUAACGGGCCUUCGGGUGCCGACGAGUGGCGAACGGGUGAGUAAUACAUCGGAACGUGCCCGAUCGUGGGGGAUAACGAGGCGAAAGCUUUGCUAAUACCGCAUACGGUCUACGGAUGAAAGCAGGGGACCGCAAGGCCUUGCGCGGACGGAGCGGCCGAUGGCAGAUUAGGUAGUUGGUGGGAUAAAAGCUUACCAAGCCGACGAUCUGUAGCUGGUCUGAGAGGAUGAUCAGCCACACUGGGACUGAGACACGGCCCAGACUCCUACGGGAGGCAGCAGUGGGGAAUUUUGGACAAAGGGCGCAAGCCUGAUCCAGCCAUGCCGCGUGCAGGAUGAAGGCCUUCGGGUUGUAAACUGCUUUUGUACGGAACGAAAAGCCUUCUUUUAAUACAGGAGGGUCAUGACGGUACCGUAAGAAUAAGCACCGGCUAACUACGUG
rnacentral:rRNA from 1 species